UAAAGCGAUUCAGCGGGUUACGAUUGACGGAGCGAAGCGACGUCAAAGCGUAUACAAAGUCGAGUCGGUUUAAGGAUACGUUCGUUGGGUAGGGGAGCGUUCUGUAAGCCUGUGAAGGUGGCCUGUGAGGGUUGCUGGAGGUAUCAGAAGUGCGAAUGCUGACAUAAGUAACGAUAAAGCGGGUGAAAAGCCCGCUCGCCGGAAGACCAAGGGUUCCUGUCCAACGUUAAUCGGGGCAGGGUGAGUCGACCCCUAAGGCGAGGCCGAAAGGCGUAGUCGAUGGGAAACGGGUUAAUAUUCCCGUACUUGGUGUUACUGCGAAGGGGGGACGGAGAAGGCUAUGUUGGCCGGGCGACGGUUGUCCCGGUUUAAGCGUGUAGGUGUGUGUUCCAGGUAAAUCCGGUUCACUUUAACACUGAGGCGUGAUGACGAGGCACUACGGUGCUGAAGCAACAAAUGCCCUGCUUCCAGGAAAAGCCUCUAAGCAUCAGGUAACAUCAAAUCGUACCCCAAACCGACACAGGUGGUCAGGUAGAGAAUACCAAGGCGCUUGAGAGAACUCGGGUGAAGGAACUAGGCAAAAUGGUGCCGUAACUUCGGGAGAAGGCACGCUGACAC
rnacentral:rRNA from 2 species